UACGUAGGGGGCAAGCGUUGUCCGGAAUCAUUGGGCGUAAAGCGCGUGUAGGCGGCUCGGUAAGUCCGCUCUGAAAGUCCAAGGCUCAACCUUGGGAUGCGGGUGGAUACUGCCGGGCUCGAGUCCGGAAGAGGCGAGUGGAAUUCCUGGUGUAGCGGUGAAAUGCGCAGAUAUCAGGAGGAACACCGGUGGCGAAGGCGGGUCUCUGGGCCGAUGACUGACGCUGAGGAGCGAAAGCGUGGGGAGCGAACAGG
rnacentral:rRNA from 1 species